rnacentral:rRNA from 1 species
ACAUCCAGAGAACUUAGCAGAGAUGCUUUGGUGCCUUCGGGAACUCUGAGACAGGUGCUGCAUGGCUGUCGUCAGCUCGUGUUGUGAAAUGUUGGGUUAAGUCCCGNAACGAGCGCAACCCUUAUCCUUUGUUGCCAGCGGUUCGGCCGGGAACUCAAAGGAGACUGCCGGUGAUAAACCGGAGGAAGGUGGGGAUGACGUCAAGUCAUCAUGGCCCUUACGGCCAGGGCUACACACGUGCUACAAUGGCGCAUACAAAGAGAAGCGACCUCGCGAGAGCAGGCGGACCUCAUAAAGUGCGUCGUAGUCCGGAUUGGAGUCUGCAACUCGACUCCAUGAAGUCGGAAUCGCUAGUAAUCGUAGAUCAGAAUGCUACGGUGAAUACGUUCCCGGGCCUUGUACACACCGCCCGUCACACCAUGGGAGUGGGUUGCAAAAGAAGUAGGUAGCUUAACCUUCGGGAGGGCGCUUACCACUUUGUGAUUCAUGACUGGGGUGAAGUCGUAACAAGGUAAGCGUAGCGAG